rnacentral:rRNA from 1 species
AGUGAACGCUGGCGGUAGGCCUAACACAUGCAAGUCGAACGGCAGCACAGUAAGAGCUUGCCCUUACGGGUGGCGAGUGGCGGACGGGUGAGGAAUACAUCGGACUCUACUUUUUCGUGGGGGAUAACGUAGGGAAACUUACGCUAAUACCGCAUACGACCUACGGGUGAAAGCAGGGGAUCUUCGGACCUUGCGCGAUUGAACGAGCCGAUGUCGGAUUAGCUAGUUGGCGGGGUAAAGGCCCACCAAGGCGACGAUCCGUAGCUGGUCUGAGAGGAUGAUCAGCCACACUGGGACUGAGACGCGGUCCAGACUCCUACAGGAGGCAGCGAUGGGGAAUAUUGGACGAUGGGCGCAAGCCUGCUCCAGCCAUGCCGCGUGGGUGAAGAAGGCCUUCGUGUUGUAUAGCCCUUUUGUUGUGGUAGAAAAGCAGCAGGUUAAUACCCCGCUGUUCUGACGGUACCCAAAGAAUAAGCACCGGCUAACUUCGUG